rnacentral:rRNA from 1 species
UACGUAGGUCCCGAGCGUUGUCCGGAUUUAUUGGGCGUAAAGCGAGCGCAGGUGGUUUAUUAAGUCUGGUGUAAAAGGCAGUGGCUCAACCAUUGUAUGCAUUGGAAACUGGUAGACUUGAGUGCAGGAGAGGAGAGUGGAAUUCCAUGUGUAGCGGUGAAAUGCGUAGAUAUAUGGAGGAACACCGGUGGCGAAAGCGGCUCUCUGGCCUGUAACUGACACUGAGGCUCGAAAGUGUAGGGAGCAAACAGG